CCCCAAGAAAGCUUGCUGGUU
rnacentral:misc_RNA from 1 species